ACUAAAAGUUGCUGUUUCAUAGACUCACACACAUCAUUGAUUGUGGCCACCUUCUUCAUAGCGAUAUCAGCACUGUGUACUGGGCUCAGCGCUGAGUACUGAAAGAAAAACUAACGUGUAUAUGCGGUCCGCACUCGGUUUUCUUUGUCUGGCAAAUGGGCCUACCUAAGUGUACAUAAUAAUGUGUAUUUCCUAUAUACACAUAAUGGGCUUAUUUGCAUGAUAUUGUAUUAAAAAUAUGCAUCCUUCAAAAUUACUUUGCAGAAUCUGGUCGGCUCAGAAGCAGCUCUGAAAUGUUGGCAGUGUCCACCAGGUGGAGCUGCGUCACAAGAGAGCGGCUGGGACUUCAGCAGACCGUUUUACAACCGAUUUGUCAGAUGGGAAUGAACAGGUUCUCAUUUUUCGUUGCCUUCUUGGGAAUAAUCAAAAGGACAGGAUGUGAGCACUGCACCCUACAUACCAAGAUGCAGGUCAUCCCUUCCCCCAAGCAAUAGCUUCUCAUAAAAUACUCUCCUGUACAUCAGCGGGUACCUCUACCCCCCUGCUUGUCUUUAAAGACCAGAUGGGAAUAAAUGGGUCUGACUUGGUGAUCUGAAAGCCAGGACCCUUUUGCACACAUUAAAAACAGCAUCAUCCCUGAUGGGACAGAUUUUCACAUUCCCUUUAAAAAUGCUUUCCCUCUAUGUAUCUGGGAAGAAAAAGAUCGCUGGUAUUGGAAAUUAAAAGGGGUUUCUGUGUAGUUUCUUAAAUCCAACUGCAUUUUAGAUUGGGCCAUGGGGUAGAGAAGAAGAAGGGAGAGGGCGUGUGAAGUGGAUAGCCAGUCCAUUAACGGUCUAAGUCAAGAAGUGAAGGCUGCUUCCAGAGCUGCUGGAACAACAGCUGUGGAUCCAUCUAUCACAACCCAUCUCACCUUGGUGGCCCUGUUAAAAGCUAGAUGGUGCCUCCAAAAUGCCAUCUUUCUGGAUGGCAUUUUGGAGGCACAAUCAAUUGCUAGGUUAAACAGGCUUGCUUUGCAUAUGGGGAAAAAGGUUACAGGUAGGCCGUCUGUAGCGGGUGCAAUAUUAUCGAUCAGACUGUAAUGCAGGCCUACUUGUCUAACCUCUGCAGAAGCUGCAAUGGGAUCUUUAACAUCCUGAAGAUAUCAGGACUUCUGUUUUUCAUCUCACAAGCCUGUUAGCACUUCCCUGAGCAGACGUGUGCUCAUGAUCACCGCUGAACGGAGGGGAAGACAGCUUCCUGCAGCAACCAGUCGUUUGAUGCACGUGCCAGAUAACGACAGAGUAGGCCCAACCCUGGGUAGUCCGGCUGAAAGCCACGCCAGCCUAUCAUAAUGACAACCCAAGUAUUUCAUACCUGUUGUGCCAUAGUCUCCGCCUGAGUCAGGACAGUGAUUGACAGCGACCCAUUAUCCUCAUAGCUACUCCUGCGAAUGCUAAUCCUGUCCCGUUCAUUCUGUACAGCUUGAAAGAGGAAGAAUAACCAGUUAGAUUAGUCAGAUCCUGGCAUUUCCCACCAUAAGCGAUAGCUGCUAUUUACUCUCAUAAAAAGCCUGGCAAUUUGCUAAUCAUUUUAUGCAGCAACAAAACAUAUCAUAUUAUUAACGGUCACAGUUUGAUAUUAGUAACAAUUUCCUGAAAAUACAGACAAGGAGAAAUAGUACUGGCAAUGCUAGAUUUGUUAAUGCCCUACUGGUAGGAAAGCAUUCUCAUCAUAGCCCUGGCAGCUUUGAAGCCUAAUUCUACCAUUAAAUUCACACAGGAAGAUGCUGGGCCAUGUUCACCUAACACUGGAAAAUUCACUAUAUCUGCUUAGAGGCUCCACUUCAGAAGAACCCAGAACAACUGUACUUUGUUUCUUGACAUCGAGGUAUCCUACUAUAAUUUCCCAGGUAUGACAGUAGGACUCAGGAGGAGAAAGAAUGGUCCUUAUAGCCUCUCCAUCAAAGAAACCUGGAACAGGGAUGGUGCAUAAUCUGUAGGCCCUCAGUGCACCCCAUCAGGCCUACCUCUAACACUGAUUGUCCAAGUCAAUGAGCUGUCAACCCAAAAGAUAAUGCUGGUGGAGAACGGAGGGAGUAAACAAAAGAUCUAUGUAUUGCUGCAAAAUCACUGCAAAGCGCUCCAUGAACGAUAGUCGUAUAACCUGCCUUUGGCCACAUAAACUUGCCUAGUAAACAAGGGAAAUCAGGUCCCGCAUCAUGAAUUGCCAGGCACUCCAUGACUUGUUAAGACAACAGCAGCUGACACACUAGCUUGUCUAUUAGGAUUUGCUUGCUAAUCACACCUUGCAUAUAGCUGUGGAAGAGGGUGCUGACAUUUCCCAGUUUGCAUGGAAGAGGGUGGGAUCUUCCAUGCAAACUGAUGCAAAAGAAAAUGAUAGAUAGGAUAAGAAAAUAACCGAUAAGAAAAACUGAUAAAAACAUCACAGGAGGUUUUGAUGGGGCUUUUGGGGGUCCUCACAGUCUACAGCUAUUUGGUGCCUAGUAAUCCUGUCUUCAGUGACAGCCGCCAGACAACAGGAAGGAAUAGUACUGAGAUCACUACACCAUCAACUGGCUCUUGCUUGACCAACACUUAUGUGGUUGCAAGAUUUAAUAAGCUAAGAGGCAAGAGAGGAGAGUUUUGAGUGCAGAUACGAGGCUGAGCCCUCCCCAUCCAUGUCCGGAUCUGGAACGUGCCAGAAAUUAUUUGCUUUUUUUUCCUUUGAGUUCAUAUUUUUUGAUCCUUUAUGGAACCAGCAAGGAGAGACUCCACGUUGCUUCUUGUUCAAUUGGUUCUAGCUCCUACUUGCUACUGGACUCUGCUUAGCAUCAUGGGAGGCAAUAUGUUUGUAGGCAGCUUUGCAAACGAAAACACUAUGAUUAUAUGAGAAUUAAGUAUUGCGUGACAGCACGGCGAGUGAACAAAAGUCUUUUUCUUUGCAACAAUCUACUUCAGUGGGGAAAAAAAAUGCUAUUCUCUCUGGACCACAGAAAGCAGGUAAAAUAAUACUUGAGCAAGACGCAGCUUUACAAGAGAGCAGUUGAAAUUAGAGUGAUGUCUAGUUUCUGCACCAAAGUCUCUCCCCCAGAUCCCUGUUCUCACACGGAGACCCCCAGCGCUACACUGAAUGAUCAAUGAUUAGACUGAAGGAAGGCUCUUGAGCACAGACUCCACAUUUCCCUGACAGCUCAUCCAUUUUUCGCAAUGUACAGUUCAGCAAGUCAAGCCCUGUCUUCUUGAAGCCCAGGAAGCAGUAAGAUUUAGCAUGUGAUGAUAAUACAGUGCAUCAAUACCUCCUCCUACAUAUGUGCUUUAAAUCAAGCCUGCUUUGGCAUAUGUUUAUAGGGAUGACUGAGACAGGCAGACCAGACUUCAUUGUGGAAAGCAAGACUUCUUUCUCUUGUGCAGCUCUUAGACUGAUACUUUGGAGUCUGCAGCAGCAUACAGUAAAUCAGUGGUUUUCAACUGGUGGUCCUGGGGGGCCCACACACUUUGUCUAAGGGGUCCACAAAAGACGACUAGGAUCAAUCAAAUGCAUGUGUAUCCACACUUCCAUUUGAAAUGUUUUAGGGAAAAAAAAGGUUGAAACCCACUGCCAUAAAGUCUUUGGAAAAGGACCUUUUUUGCCAUGUCUAUAUACAGUGCUUAGCAUGAUAGGACACUUCAUCUCAGAGCUACACUAAUAUAGACAACUGGCAUCCAUGCAUGAUCCCUAAGCUUGCAUUGAGCUGGAUGUUUGAGAAAUACCAGUCUUAUUUUGCUUCAUUGGAUAACACCUGAAUAAAAAGAACAGCAUGUGAAAAAAUCUUCCUCAGUCUAGGUGAGACUUGUAUUCCCUUUUUGUUUGCAAUGUCAAAAACGACUGCUUCUGAGCCGCUCAUGGCAAAAUACCAGACCUUUCAGGAGCAGCUGAUAGUAAGAUGAAUCUACUGUCAGGCUGGGGGAAGGAGACACAAAGGACCUCAGGGCUUGUCAUGCUGAGUUCUCUAGUGACUUUUAGGGGCUUUGUUAUCUAUCACGGCCCAGUUAAGCAUGCAGGCUCCUUAUACAAGGCAUGGGAGUUGUUCUGCUCCACAAAAAUCCCUCAUUCUGAGCUGGGAGCCAUCCCAAAACUAGAAGGAAAUGCUGAUGUGGAGAGAUGAAGCUUACACUCCCACCCUAGGAGUUGGGUGCUAAAUGCUGAAGCUAGCCCCUUCUCGGAAAAGAUGGCCAGAGGAGUUGGUGCCCCACCAUGAUCCAUCCAUUCACCAGUUAUUGUGUUGGACCGGGGUGUAGGAAAGACAGCUUCGAAUCACUCCUGUGAAGCUUUUUUUCAGUUAUUUACUCAUUUCUACCUCUCUCACCCCAAAAUAAGAGAUGUUCCAGCAUGCCAAUCAUUCUGGAAAAAACCUGGGUUGAGUUUUGGGUGGAGCAAAGCAUUUCAUUAAUUUUCUUUAGAAACGAGAAACCCACAAAGUUCUAAAACAAUUGCAAUACUUUGUUUCGACGAUGUGAAGCAUUUGGAAAUGUCCUUUUUGUUUCCAGCUGAGAAACAGCAACGCUGAAUUAUUGCUUGAAUGUGGCUAACUCACUUAUUGCCCAAGACAGUUUUCUAAUGACAAACGCAGUCUCCCAACUCUCGAGAGAAACUCCCGCUGAACAGAGCAUGCCUCUGCUGCGGAGAAGACUUCAGAUUCCAGAUUUGCUGAAUCCUUCCACAGCUGUUCUGGGUGACAGAUAAAGACCCUGGAAGCCUCUUAACAGCAACCUGUAGAGUCUGUAUGCUUUCUCUUGAAAACAGAAGUUACAAACAACUUGGCCAAGUCAUAGCUUGAGUCCAUGCAACAUUUCUAAUGGCGAUAUGGAGGCUGGGUAUUAACCUAGACUCUAGCUGGAACCACGUGCCUGUCCUUUGCAGAUGAAUAUAUUGAGUGCCAACAAGGUGAAAGGGCAUGCAACAGUCAACCAGUGACAAGACAUUAUGCAACGAGAUACCAUCGAAGGCAAGGAAUGAAGUCUGCGGUACUUUUGCGUCCUGUUUCUAUUGCUGUAACUCUUCGGAGCCGCAAGCUUGGCCAAGAAUCCGACUGUACAAGGUACUGUACAAACCGAGCAUCCUGUCCAAGUCCAUUAACUCCCUAUAUCCCAUCAAACUGGUAAUAAUUCAUCAGACCCACAGAUAAGGCAAUCAUGGAAGAAAAUCAUCCUCAGCUGCAAGGGAUUGCUGUGGUAUUUCUGGCACCUGAUAAAUUCUUCCUCAACGGCAAAGAGCAAAGCACAGUUUUCAUGGCGUUACUGAGAGCGGUGGUGUUGCCAGCAACCGCCUAACUGAAACUAUUUCAUCUCGGAUAGCAACUUGGAACAAGGGACUUACUUCCCUGGCAAGAGGUGUUUAGGUAUUCCAGCAUACCUUCCCAUAGGAACCAACAGGAAAUGUGUCAAAGAGCAUCAGCUAACAUUUGAGAGAUGGAAAUGGAGUUAAAUGGACCUCUCCAAAUAGAUGCAAAGGCCACGUCCAGACGAGCGUGGCCGUGUGAUAUGUAGUGCUGCCACCUAUCACACAUUCAGGCAUUUCCCAUACUGCUACCUUGCAGCAUGGGGGGUUUCUUUUGACCCAGGGUCAAAAAAAUCCGUGCAAAAAAACAAGCAAGACAACACACAUUGGGACAGCAUGCACCACCCAAAACUGGAGCCUGGCUGGCUGGAGACACACUCCAGCUACCAGCCAGGCUCCGAACUGCAGAAGCGAUGAGGCUGCAGCUUCCCUGGCUCCCAGGAUCCCAGGUAAGGCUGCUGAGGCCAGCAACUGUGCUAGCCCCAGCCUCCCCUACCCCAUCCGGGUAACCUGCCGCAUGCCAGAGUGAGCAUGGCGCAGGCAUUCCCCAGGGACAUCAAGGUGCACCGCUGCUAAUUGUUCCCAGGGAACCGAAUGUCCCCAGAUGCGCCCUCAGUGAUAUUGCCCAAUAAAAUUUGGAACUGAUUUGGUCCUUGAAAUAAAAUUUGGAACUUGACUAUUGGACUUUGUUUUAAUAUAGACUGAGCAGAGCUCAAUCAUUCACGUCUGUGUGUGCGGCUCUGCCACCAGGCAACUAGCCUCCCUCCCAGACUGCUCAGCCUUGGGCUUCAGAUGCUCUUCACGCUUUUGGCUAAGAUCAAGCGAGACAGAGAACAUCCAAACCCCUUCAGACUUGGGGCUUACACAGAGGAUGCCAGCCGUGGACUUGGGGAGCAAGCCAUGGGGGAAGCGUGAUCGCAGUCCCCCAUUGCCACAAAAUUGUGCAGUCGAGUUUCCCGCAGCGGGAUUGUGGAACCGGCUGAGAGGUUGUUCUUUCCAAGCUACGUGCAAAGGAUGCAUCCUCUUUUACCACCUACCUUCUUU